UACGUAGGUGGCGAGCGUUGUCCGGAUUUACUGGGCGUAAAGGGAGCGUAGGCGGACUUUUAAGUGAGAUGUGAAAUACUCGGGCUCAACUUGAGUGCUGCAUUACAAACUGGAAGUCUAGAGUGCAGGAGAGGAGAAUGGAAUUCCUAGUGUAGCGGUGAAAUGCGUAGAGAUUAGGAAGAACACCAGUGGCGAAGGCGAUUCUCUGGACUGUAACUGACGCUGAGGCUCGAAAGCGUGGGGAGCAAACAGG
rnacentral:rRNA from 1 species